rnacentral:rRNA from 1 species
AGAGUUUGAUCAUGGCUCAGAAUCAACGCUGGCGGCGUGCCUCAGACAUGCAAGUCGAACGAUUAAAGCUCCCUUCGGGGAGUGCAUAAAGUGGCGCACGGGUGAGUAACACGUAAGUAAUCUACCUUCGAGUGGGGAAUAACAGUCGGAAACGGCUGCUAAUACCGCAUAAUGCAGCGGCAUCGCAAGAUGACAGUUGUUAAAGAUUUAUCGCUUGAAGAGGAGCUUGCGGCAGAUUAGCUAGUUGGUAAGGUAAUGGCUUACCAAGGCUACGAUCUGUAACCGGUCUAAGAGGACGGUCGGUCACACUGACACUGAAUAACGGGUCAGACUCCUACGGGAGGCAGCAGUCGGGAAUUUUGGGCAAUGGGGGAAACCCUGACCCAGCAACGCCGCGUGAAGGAUGAAGUAUUUCGGUAUGUAAACUUCGAAAGAAUAGGAAGAAUUAAUGACGGUACUAUUUAUAAGGUCCGGCUAACUACGUGCCAGCCGCCGCGGUAAU